UACGAAGGGGGCUAGCGUUGCUCGGAAUCACUGGGCGUAAAGCGCACGUAGGCGGAUCUUUAAGUCAGGGGUGAAAUCCUGGAGCUCAACUCCGGAACUGCCUUUGAUACUGGGAAGCUUGAGUCCGGGAGAGGUGAGUGGAACUCCGAGUGUAGAGGUGAAAUUCGUAGAUAUUCGGAAGAACACCAGUGGCGAAGGCGGCUCACUGGCCCGGUACUGACGCUGAGGUGCGAAAGCGUGGGGAGCAAACAGG
rnacentral:rRNA from 1 species